CCCAACUACAAAACAGAACACCUGUAGGAGGUCAUGUGUUCUGAACUUGUUCCAUGUUUUUUAAUGCAACUAUAUGUAUUCAAUACCGAUUUUAAAGCUGAAAUUAAUUUAUAGAUGUGGCUCCAGUUGUUCGACAUAACUGUGCAUCUCAAAUUACUUCACCAGACUAACCGCAAUUCCAUGCAGAUGGUUCACUCAACCAUUUAGCGGGUGGCGAGUCUAUUGUGGGUUGCAGUAACGUUAAACGAUAUCAACCGGGCACAUCCACUUUGAAGUUUUAUAAGUGUGGCCCAGUUACAGACCUAACUAACAAUCGUGAUGAACAUAUUCAACAAAGGAAAAAGCAGCUAAGUGGUCAAAGUUGGUAUGCUCGAUUGUCUGUCGAGCAAAAAGAUGAGUAUAUACAGAGACAACGUAUAUCCUGCCAGCAAAAUAAGAUGGCUGUAGCCCACAAUGGUGUUAAUAAAGAAGUGUCUGAAAGAAGAGCGCCCCCCUCACUGAUUUCACAGCGUAUCCAAUUGAGCAAAAUAACCAACAAAGAUGCAAAUGGGCUAUGUGCAUAUGCAACCCCGGAGAGUAUCUAUCUUGGUUUAUGUGGUAUAUUACCUAGAACAUUUACUUCUCAGGAUACACCUGGUGAAGCAGCCAACUUUGGAUUUUAGUGUGGGAUCGUGCAAAGACCGAGAGAGCCGAGAGAGACGAACCUGCGCGUCCGCGAGGCGGAUUGUGAGCCUGCAGAAGGGAGCAGCGCGUCUCCGUGGGUGAUGCACUCGGAACGGAGGAAGCCUGAGAGAACCGUCUGUUGGUAGUGAGCCUGGCCAGCAGGAUGCAGGCGUGGUUAGUGACAUUGAUGUGCGAGGGGGCUUAUUGGA